AGCUCCAAUAGCGUAUAUUAAAGUUGUUGCAGUUAAAAAGCUCGUAGUUGGAUUUCUGGUGAAAGCGUCUGGACGGCCCAAUGGGUUUGUUCCGGUAUGUCUUUCGCCAUUCUUGAAGGGAACUUUUCUGGCAUUUAGUUGUCGGAUUAGAGAUCUUCAUCGUUUACUGUGAAAAAAUUAGAGUGUUCAAAGCAGGCUUAUGCCGUUGAAUACAUUAGCAUGGAAUAAUAAGAUAGGACUUUGGUACUAUUUUGUUGGUUUGCGUACCUAAGUAAUGAUUAAUAGGGACAGUUGGGGGUAUUCGUAUUCAAUUGUCAGAGGUGAAAUUCUUGGAUUUAUGGAAGACGAACUACUGCGAAAGCAUUUACCAAGGAUGUUUUCAUUA
rnacentral:rRNA from 1 species